rnacentral:rRNA from 1 species
UACGUAGGGUGCAAGCGUUAUCCGGAAUUAUUGGGCGUAAAGAGCUCGUAGGCGGUUUGUCGCGUCUGAUGUGAAAACCCGAGGCUCAACCUCGGGCCUGCAGUGGGUACGGGCAGACUAGAGUGCGGUAGGGGAGAUUGGAAUUCCUGGUGUAGCGGUGGAAUGCGCAGAUAUCAGGAGGAACACCGAUGGCGAAGGCAGAUCUCUGGGCCGUAACUGACGCUGAGGAGCGAAAGCGUGGGGAGCGAACAGG